UACGAACCGUCCAAACGUUAUUCGGAAUCACUGGGCUUACAGAGUUCGUAGGCGGCGGAGAAAGUAGGGUGUGAAAGCCCUCGGCUUAACCGAGGAAUUGCGCCCUAAACUACUUCGCUUGAGGAGGCUAGAGGUGAGCGGAACUGAUGGUGGAGCGGUGAAAUGCGUUGAUAUCAUCAGGAACACCGGAGGCGAAGGCGGCUCACUGGGACCUUUCUGACGCUGAGGAACGAAAGCUAGGGUAGCGAACGGG
rnacentral:rRNA from 1 species